GCGAAAUUGGACUAGCCCUUAAGCUUUACACGCGUUAGACGAACGGUCUGGAAAGUCCGACGAUACAGGGUGAUAGUCCCGUAGUUGACGACGUGUGUUCAGUGAAAUCGAGUAGGGCGGGACACGUGAUAUCCUGUCUGAAUAUGGGGGGACCAUCCUCCAAGGCUAAAUACUACUGACUGACCGAUAGUGAACCAGUACCGUGAGGGAAAGGCGAAAAGAACCCCUGUGA
rnacentral:rRNA from 1 species